UCCCCCAGAAUUAAACACAUAGAACACGAUAAAAAUGAUUACACAAGAAACAGAAACUAUAAAGACGUAACGCAUCGACGAACGCAUGCCUCAAAGAGGAGCGAGCUUUCAAAGACUGUCAAAAUCUGCCACACGACCUGCUAAUCGAGAACGGACACCAUGUGUUUUUUUGCUACUGAGACUGAGCAGUUCAGCCCUUGCGACCCGCCGUUGACUGCAGGCAACGACAAGGUCGACACUUGGAGGCCUAGCAACCACGCCUUGUCGCUCACUUUGGAAGCAGUUAUUCCCGAACUAGCCAAUUAAUCAGGCUAGACACGUUUACCCUCCCCCUGAGGCCACCUUAAAAGCUCACUCUUUAUUGCUCAGAAGUCUUUAUUUUUGGUACAUUAAAGAAUUUUUUUUCCCGAUUAUGAAGCUAUCUAGACACAGCUCCAAAAUGAAGAGGGUGCCCUUCCUUUGAAAUGAUGGAAGACUCGGAAUCUCAACGAAAUUAAAAUAAUCGAAGACGGAAAAGAAUGUCCUCUGACACCUCAGCACCUGUAGGCUUUCCUGUGUGCAGGGGCCAGAAGACACCUGCCUGACGCUCCAGACUAAAGAAGCAGGCGCUGAAGGGGGCUGCACUGCAGAGCGUGCUGCCUGCUGGGCUCGAGCGCUGAGGGAGGCGGCAGCUGUCGUCAUGCUCGAAGACCUGCACUUUAUUUUGUUGCCAAAGGAGUAUCACCAAGGCUUAAGGUGGAGGAGCUCUCCCAGGCAACGCGUGCCGAGUGGACGAGGAGUACGAGCAAAAUAAAUCACGCUAAAAUGAGCUGUAAUUCAAUAUGUAUAAGAUGAAUCCACUCAGCAGCAGUGAUGGAACCCAGGAAGUGUGAGGAAUGGCCCCUGUCCUGUAGGAGAGUCUCUCUUUACCAGGAUUCAGAACAUGGAC